ensembl:snoRNA SNORA71 Small nucleolar RNA SNORA71
UCCUGCAUUUGAAAGUGAUCAUGGGCUGCCGGUGCCCUGUCACUGAUUGUGCAUGGAAAAGAAUCGCUGAAAGUAUUUCCCCAUGUUUGGAGGGUCUGUCCUUUUCAGACCCUGGAGUUUGCUAUA